rnacentral:tRNA from 1 species
GCAGCGGUAUCGAAGUGGUCAUAACGGGGCUGACUCGAAAUCAGUUUGCAGGCAACUGCACGUGGGUUCGAAUCCCACCCGCUGCG